AGGAAGGGUCGAAUACACAGGUCUUCAGGCACGACAUGAAGAUGGGGAAGGAAGGGAAAGCGCGGCUACUAAUUGUGGAACAGAGGGCACGAGGAACAUGCAGAAAGCUGGAACCAUUCGAGUGGAGGCAGCGGGUUGGAGAGAUAAAUGGAUCAUGGGGAAUAAUACCAGAGGCAGUUUCCAGAAGCUGAUCCUGCAGACAGAAUUUGGAAUAUGAGGAUGAACUCUCAAAUCAUUUUCAAAUCUGUCUUUCUGUGUGAAAACAUUCCAAGGUGUUGCACUGAACUUGAGGGAAGUUUGUUCCUGUAAUUCUGUGAGGCAGUAAGUUUAGAAAGCCAUGGAGUUAACACAUUUUGUGUAAAAUAUGUAAUCUAUGUAGUUGUAAAUUGCUUUUUAAUAGCAACAGCAAUUUAAUCAGAAUUUCAUUUGCUGCUCAUCAAUAGUUGGAAUAAAGUGACAUGAAGGUUUUUUCCAUCAGUUCAA